rfam:Erinaceus europaeus unplaced genomic scaffold scaffold00115, whole genome shotgun sequence
GUCUACCGUCAUACCACCCUAAACACACCCGAUCUCCUCUGAUCGCGGAAGCUAAGCAGGGUUGGGCCUGGUUAGUACUUGAAUGGGAGAAAUGAGAACACAAGCAGUAUGAU